CUCAGGGACUUCACAAAGAAAAGAACAUCAACAAGAGAAAGCAAUAAAAGUCUUCAGGGAAUUCCAUGCUAAAGUUCAUCUUGGUGAAAAGGAGGUGGCAGGCAUCCACUGACUGAGGGCAAGUCAUUCAAUACAUACACAGCGCAUGGAGCUCUAUGAGAGAUCCUGCCAUCCAGCCAUUGGUUGCACAAAUAAUAAUCCAGUCGGUGUACCACUCCAUAGAACGUAGCAAAUAGUAGAAAAAAUAUAUUUAAUAAAAAUACAAAUAGUACACAAAAAUCAAAGAACACAGGCCCAAAUAUACAAAAACAAGUGAGCCGGCUAAUGCAUAGACCAUAUGAUAUCUUAAAGAAUCAACCAUUUUUUUAUUUCUUGUUUAAAGGGACUCUAUAGGCACCAAAACAACUUUAGAUUAGUGAAGCAGUUUUGGUGUAUAGAUCAUGCCUCUGCAGUUUCACUUCUCAAAUCUCUGACAUUUAGGCGUUAAAUCACUGUGUUUAUGUAGUCCUAGUCACUCC